rnacentral:rRNA from 1 species
GUCUACAGCCAUGCCAUCCUGAACAAGCCCAAUCCUGCCUCAUCUUGGAAACUAAGCAGGGUCGAGCCUGGUUAGUUCUUGAAUGGGAGACCACCUAGGAAGACCAGGUGCUGUAGGCG